rnacentral:rRNA from 1 species
AUUGAACGCUGGCGGCAGGCUUAACACAUGCAAGUCGAACGAGUGGCGGACGGGAUAGUAAUGCUUGGGCAUCUAGCUGAUGGAGGGGGAUCAGUACGGGAAACUGAUGCCGAAACCGCGUACAUUAGGAUGAGCCCGAGUGGGUUUAGGUAGUUGGUGGGGUAUAGGCUGACCAAGACGACGAUCUCUAGCUGGUCUGAGAGGAUGAACAGUCACACUGGAACUGAGACACGGCCCAGACUCCUACGGGAGGCAGCAGUGGGGAAUAUUGCGCAAUGGGGGAAAGCCUGACGCAGCCAUGCCGCGUGUAUGAAGAAGGCCUUCGGGUUGUAAAGCACUUUCAGUCGGGAGGCGUUACCGACAGAAGAAGCACCGGCUAACUCCGUGCCAGCAGCCGCGGUAAUUC